AUUGAACGCUGGCGGCAGGCCUAACACAUGCAAGUCGAGCGGAUGAAGGGAGCUUGCUCCUGGAUUCAGCGGCGGACGGGUGAGUAAUGCCUAGGAAUCUGCCUGGUAGUGGGGGAUAACGUCCGGAAACGGGCGCUAAUACCGCAUACGUCCCGAGGGAGACAGUGGGGGAUCUUCGGACCUCACGCUAUCAGAUGAGCCUAGGCCGGAUUAGCUAGUUGGUGGGGUAAAGGCCUACCCAGGCGACGAUCCGUAACUGGUCUGAGAGGAUGAGCAGUCACACUGGAACUGAGACACGGUCCAGACUCCUACGGGAGGCAGCAGUGGGGAAUAUUGGACAAUGGGCGAAAGCCUGAUCCAGCCAUGCCGCGUGUGUGAAGAAGGUCUUCGGAUUGUAAAGCACUUUAAGUUGGGAGGAAGGGCAGUAAGUUAAUACCUUGCUGUUUUGACGUUACCAACAGAAUAAGCACCGGCUAACUUCGUG
rnacentral:rRNA from 1 species